CUGUGAACCUGGGAAGGCAACUGCUAAGUGCUAAUUAUCAGCUUGGAUUCAGAUUUUUCAAAGCAUUCCUGUUCAUUGGUGUUAUUGCCCUCAUAAUUACUCUUUCCUUUAUAUAUCAACUUUCAUCGAUGGACCUUUUUGUUUGCUGUCUGGCAUUCAUGCCAACUGCCUGGGGAUUGAUAAUGGUAAUAAUCUUUAGCAACCCUUUUUUUUAACAUAUCUUUAGCAACCUUGGAUGAGCUAAAUUGUCACCUUUUUUAAUUUGUUCCUUGCUUUUUCCCUGUGAGGCUGUGACUUAAUCCAUGUAGGAGGCCAUUUGAAUACGGACUUAUUGAAGCUUAUGUAUAAGAAAAAACACUGUAUAAGCUCUAACAAGUGCUCUUUGUCUUACAUCCAAGCGGGUUCUAAUUAAUAUAUUUUGGUGGUUCAGAUAGCACAAGCUGCAAGGCCAAAGAUAGAGCAUACAGGAUUGUGGGACUUCACCCGUGCACUUGCUAGAGAAUUUGACUACGGAAUGGGGAUAGUUCUUUUUGGACCUAUAGCUAUUUUGGCAUGGCUACCAAUCAUUAAAGCCUUCCAUGAUCGUAUCCUCUUCAACGAGGCAUUCAAAAGGCACUUGCAAAUCCAACCAAUUCUUGCAGGAAAAAGGAAGAAGCACAGAACUUGAUCAUGAUUUGUACUUGUUUUUGUACAGCCAUGCAAUGAAUCAUGUUUUAUUUUUCUAUAGAAACGAUAUUAGGAACUUAACAGAACUUAUAGCAUGUACAGCUAGCUGCAUUCGUGUGAGUAUACAUAGUCAUAAAUGUGCACAGGCUUGCCAAUGAUGAUGGAGAUAGGCCUUGAGAGAGGUUUCCUCACAGCGCUUAAAGAUUUUGUCCUCAUGCAAUUGCAGCUGGCUGCUGUUUUCUUCACUUUCUCCCUCGGAACGAAAACACAUUAUUAUGGAAGAACAAUUUUGCAUGGGGGUGCCAAGUACAGACCAACUGGGCGCAAAGUCGUCUUUCAUGCUAGCUUUACUGAAAACUACAGAUUAUAUUCAAGAAGCCACUUUGUCAAGGCAUUUGAGCUAUUGUUGUUGCUGAUUGUUUAUAAUAUGUUCAGGAGGUCUUAUCAAAGUAACGUGACAUACGUUGUAAUAACUUACGCCAUUUGGUUCAUGUCCUUAACUUGGUUAUGUGCACCUUUCCUUUUUAACCCUGCCGGAUUCAGCUGGACCAAGGCGGUAGAUGACUGGAAAGAGUGGAAUAAAUGGAUCAGGCAACCAGGUGGAUUGGGAAUUCAUCAGGAUAAAAGUUGGCAUUCUUGGUGGUAUGAUGAGCAAGCUCAUCUUCGCCGGUCAAGUCUUGCUUCCAGGUUCACCGAGAUAUUGCUCUCUCUUCGUUUCUUCAUCUAUCAGUACGGUCUAGUCUAUCACCUAGACAUAUCUCACCAUAGCAAAAACUUCCUGGUCUAUGUCUUUUCUUGGAUUGUGAUUGUUGCAGUUUUCGUCUUGGUGAAGGUAUUUUUCACUAAUACCCUCUUUCCUUGCACUCUUAAAAAAUUUGCUCAACAAAGUAAAAGCAUGAUUUUGAUGCAGGCUGUGAACCUGGGAAGGCAACUGCUAAGUGCUAAUUAUCAGCUUGGAUUCAGAUUUUUCAAAGCAUUCCUGUUCAUUGGUGUUAUUGCCCUCAUAAUUACUCUUUCUUUUAUAUGUCACCUUUCAUCGAUGUCCCUUUUUUUUUGCUGUCUGGCAUUCAUGCCAACUGCCUGGGGAUUGAUAAUGGUAAUAAUCUUUAGCAACCCUUUUUUUUAACAUAUCUUUAGCAACCUUGGAUGAGCUAAAUUGUCACCUUUUUUAAUUUGUUCCUUGCUUUUUCCCUGUGAGGCUGUGACUUAAUCCAUGUAGGAGGCCAUUUGAAUACGGACUUAUUGAAGCUUAUGUAUAAGAAAAAACACUGUAUAAGCUCUAACAAGUGCUCUUUGUCUUACAUCCAAGCGGGUUCUAAUUAAUAUAUUUUGGUGGUUCAGAUAGCACAAGCUGCAAGGCCAAAGAUAGAGCAUACAGGAUUGUGGGACUUCACCCGUGCACUUGCUAGAGAAUUUGACUACGGAAUGGGGAUAGUUCUUUUUGGACCUAUAGCUAUUUUGGCAUGGCUACCAAUCAUUAAAGCCUUCCAUGAUCGUAUCCUCUUCAACGAGGCAUUCAAAAGGCACUUGCAAAUCCAACCAAUUCUUGCAGGAAAAAGGAAGAAGCACAGAACUUGAUCAUGAUUUGUACUUGUUUUUGUACAGCCAUGCAAUGAAUCAUGUUUUAUUUUUCUAUAGAAACGAUAUUAGGAACUUAACAGAACUUAUAGCAUGUACAGCUAGCUGCAUUCGUGUGAGUAUACAUAGUCAUAAAUGUGCACAGGAAA
rnacentral:lncRNA from 1 species